GACGAACGCUGGCGGCGUGCUUAACACAUGCAAGUCGAACGGUAAGGCCCUUUGGGGUACACGAGUGGCGAACGGGUGAGUAACAGGUGGGUGAUCUGCCCUGCACUUCGGGAUAAGCCUGGGAAACUGGGGCUAAUACCGGAUCGGACCGCUGGCGUCUUUGUUGGUGGUGGAAUGCUCUUGCGGUGUGGUAUGGGCUCGCGGCCUAUCAGCUUGUUGGUGGGGUAAUGGCUUACCAAGGCGACGACGGGUAGCCGGCCUGAGAGGGUGACCGGUCACACUGGGACUGGGAUACGACCCAGACUCCUACGGGAGGGAGCAGUGGGGAAUAUUGCACAAUGGGCGCAAGCCUGAUGCAGCGACGCCGCGUGAGGGAUGACGGCCUUCGGGUUGUAAACCUCUUUCAGCUAUGACGAAGCGCAAGUGACGGUAGUAGCAGAAGAAGGACCGGCCAACUACGUGCCAGCCGCCGCAGUAA
rnacentral:rRNA from 1 species